UACGAAGGGUGCAAACGUUGCUCGGAAUCAUUGGGCGUGAAGCGCACGUAGGCGGCUCCGCAAGUCGGAUGUGAAAUCCCUCGGCUCAACCGAGGACGUGCAUCCGAAACUGCAGAGCUUGAGUAUGGAAGAGGGUCGUGGAAUCCCCGGUGUAGAGGUGAAAUUCGUAGAUAUCGGGGGGAACACCAGUGGCGAAGGCGGCGACCUGGGCCAAUACUGACGCUGAGGUGCGAAAGCGUGGGGAGCGAACGGG
rnacentral:rRNA from 1 species